rnacentral:rRNA from 1 species
UACGUAGGCAGCGAGCGUUGUUCGGAGUUACUGGGCGUAAAGGGUGUGUAGGCGGUCGUUUAAGUUUGGUGUGAAAUCUCCCGGCUCAACCGGGAGGGUGCGCCGAAUACUGAAUGACUUGGAGUGCGGGAGAGGUGAGUGGAAUUCCUGGUGUAGCGGUGAAAUGCGCAGAUAUCAGGAGGAACACCGGUGGCGAAGGCGGGUCUCUGGGCCGUAACUGACGCUGAGGAGCGAAAGCGUGGGGAGCAAACAGG